UACGUAGGUGGCGAGCGUUGUUCGGAAUUACUGGGCGUAAAGCGCACGUAGGCGGCUUUGUAAGUUAGAGGUGAAAGCCCGGGGCUCAACUCCGGAACUGCCUUUAAGACUGCAUCGCUUGAAUCCAGGAGAGGUGAGUGGAAUUCCGAGUGUAGAGGUGAAAUUCGUAGAUAUUCGGAAGAACACCAGUGGCGAAGGCGGCUCACUGGACUGGUAUUGACGCUGAGGUGCGAAAGCGUGGGGAGCAAACAGG
rnacentral:rRNA from 1 species